GAAAUGUCUCCAUGAGAUCCAGCUGUAAGGCAUUUUCCCAAUUAGUGAUCAAGGGGGAAGAGCCCCUUGUGGGUAGUAACAUCCCUAGGCUGGUAGUUUUG
rnacentral:miRNA from 14 species